rnacentral:rRNA from 1 species
GAGUUUGAUCCUGGCUCAGAACGAACGCUGGCGGCAGGCCUAACACAUGCAAGUCGAACGAGAAGCUGGACUUCGGUUCAGUGGAAAGUGGCGCACGGGUGAGUAACGCGUGGGGACCUACCAUUCGGUGGAGGAUAACUGUUGGAAACGACAGCUAAUACUGCAUACGCCCUCCGGGGGAAAGAUUUAUCGCCGAAUGAUGGACCCGCGUCUGAUUAGCUAGUUGGUGAGGUAAUGGCUCACCAAGGCGACGAUCAGUAGCUGGUUUGAGAGGAUGAUCAGCCACACUGGGACUGAGACACGGCCCAGACUCCUACGGGAGGCAGCAGUGGGGAAUAUUGCGCAAUGGAGGAAACUCUGACGCAGCCAUGCCGCGUGAGUGAAGAAGGCCCUAGGGUUGUAAAACUCUUUCAGAUGUGAAGAUGAUGACGGUAACAUCAGAAGAAGCACCGGCUAACUCCGUGCCAGCAGCCGCGGUAAUACGGAGGGUGCUAGCGUUGUUCGGAUUUACUGGGCGUAAAGGGCGCGUAGGCGGAUGUAUC